rnacentral:rRNA from 1 species
CAGUCGCCGCGGUAAUACGUAGGUGGCAAGCGUUGUCCGGAAUUAUUGGGCGUAAAGGGCUCGCAGGCGGUUUCUUAAGUCUGAUGUGAAAGCCCCCGGCUCAACCGGGGAGGGUCAUUGGAAACUGGGAAACUUGAGCGCAGAAGAGGAGAGUGGAAUUCCACGUGUAGCGGUGAAAUGCGUAGAGAUGUGGAGGAACACCAGUGGCGAAGGCGACUCUCUGGUCUGUAACUGACGCUGAGGAGCGAAAGCGUGGGGAGCGAACAGGAUUAGAUACCCCCGUAGUCCCUGUCUCUUAUAA